GGCGGCGUGCUUAACACAUGCAAGUCGAACGGAAAGGCCCUUCGGGGUACUCGAGUGGCGAACGGGUGAGUAACACGUGGGUGAUCUGCCCUGCACUUUGGGAUAAGCCUGGGAAACUGGGUCUAAUACCGGAUAGGACUACGGCCUGCAUGGGUUGUGGUGGAAAGCUUUUGCGGUGUGGGAUGGGCCCGCGGCCUAUCAACUUGUUGGUGGGGUGAUGGCCUACCAAGGCGACAACAGGUAGCCGGCCUGAGAGGGUGUCCGGCCACACUGGGACUGAGAUACAGCCCACACUCCUCACCGGAGGCAGCAGUGGGGAAUAUUGCACAAUGGGCGCAAGCCUGAUGCAGCGACNCCCCNUGAGGGAUGACNGCCUUCNGGUUGUNAACCUCUCU
rnacentral:rRNA from 1 species